rnacentral:tRNA from 1 species
GGCGCCAUAGCCAAGCGGUAAGGCAAAGGUCUGCAACACCUCUAUCACCAGUUCGAUUCUGGUUGGCGCCUCUA